rnacentral:lncRNA from 1 species
GUGGGGAAGAUGUGCAUUUUUUGGAUGUGCAGCUGGUGAUGGAGGAUGGAAGGAUUGGGACGGGGGUGUGUGGGAGACCUGCGUGUGGGGCGGUGCUCAUACCAAGCUGGUCGGGUGGCCCGGCAGGAUAUGGGGGAUCAGCUUUUCGAAGUUUUUGUGAACGAGCGCUUCUGUGCUGUGCGGAGCGGGAGGGCCUAGGAAGGGAGUUGGAGUAUGUACGGAAGGUGGGAUUGAGGCAUGGGUACAGCGAAAAUUUUUUGGGUGGAGUAUGGAAGCAGGUUGGAGACGGAAGAGUGGAUGAGGGGGUGGUGGGCGGGGACAUU